rnacentral:lncRNA from 1 species
AGUGAAAAAUGUGUUAAGUAUGACCACAAAAGCUAAAUUACUACAAUUAUAAUCUAAUUAAUUUAAGAGGUUGUAUGAACUAAAAAUAGAAAUUGGGUGACUUUUGACCUGCGGACCCUUUUAACCCAUUUGACCCGUUAGUGGAUCUAAAUUGCCACCUUUUGAAUUCAAUAUUCAGAAGUCGAACACAAUGACAGAAAAUAAAAAUAUCACUCGGUAAAUCGAGCUCGCGUAGCAUUAAUCUUUUCUCAUAUCGUAAGUCAAAUAGUAACGGGUCAAUCGGGUUAUGUUAUAUCUCUAACGAUCAAAUAAAAUGAAUAGCUUAAAGUAACAAAAAAAUUAAAGACAGGAAACCCGAAAACAAUUUCAGCUCAAAAUCAACGAUCAAAUAAUAUUACGAUGAAUCAAUUGUGAUUUUCCAAAAAGAAAUCUUGCCUCAAUGAAUCUUACAACGAAUCAAUUGUGUUUGUUUACGUUCGUAUAUAGAGUUAACGAAUGAGCACAGACAAAUUCUUUUCCUUAACAAACAAACACGAAUUUUCGUUCACGUGAAAAUUAUAGGCUCGUGAACCGUCCAUUUAUCCAAUAAAAUCUAAACAAACGAACAUGAACAAGGUCUUGUUCAGUUUGUUUACACCCCUAAUUUAAAGAAAAUAAACAUAAUAUUUGGAGAGAAUUUGACAUGAUUUGGUUAAAUUUUUAGCUAAUAAGAAUCAAAUUUGAUAAUCUAACAAAGAUAUUGCCUCAAAUUUCAAAAUUUAACAUGAUUUGGUUGAAAUUUAAGCUAAUAAGGAUAUAAUUUCAUAAUUUAAUUAAACAAAUUUGAAAUCUAAACUACACUCAUCAAUAUGUCUGAUAAAUCCUAAACGAACUAACAUGAACAAGGUCUCAUCCAGUUCCUUUCAUUUCGUUUACACCACUAAUCGGAAGAAAAAACAACAUAUGUUUUUGAAAAGAACUUGACAUGAUUUGGUUAAAAUUUAAACUAACAAAAAAUCAAAUUGCAUAAUUCAACAAAGAUAUUGCCACAAAUUCCAAACUUUAACAAAAUUCGGAUAAAGUUAAACCUAAUGAGCAUCAAAUUUCAAAACAUAAUGAACAAAAUAUGAACACCAAACCAAACCAAACUCAUCAAUCCAUCCAACCCAAUCCAAUCAUCUAAACGAACGGACAUGAACAACAUCUCAUUCGCUUCAGUUCAAUUUAUUCACACCCCUAACUGAAAAUAAAAAAAAAAAAAAAAACUUCACAUAAUUCUGUUAAAAUACAACCUAACAAGCAUCAAAUUCCAUAACUUAAUCAACCAAAAUAUGCACACCAAACUAAACCAAACUCAUCAAUCAUCUAAUCAAACGAUAACUUAACAAAAAUAUUGCCUCAAUAAACAUUACAAUGAAACAAUUGUGCUCAAUAACAUAAUCAACAAACAAACACGAACAAAUUCUUUUCCGUAACAAACGAACACGAAAUCUCAUUUGGUUAAAUGUUCAUGAACCGUCACUUUGCCCAAUAAAAUCUAAAUGAACGAACAUGACCAAGGUCUCAUUCGGUUCCUUUCGUUUCAUCUCUAAAAAGAAACAAAGCAUAUUUUUUUAAGAUAAUUUGACAUGAUGUUAAAAUUUAAGCUGGUAAGCAUCAAACUUCAUCACUUAAUAAAAUUCAUUAACUCAUCUUAUCCAAUCAUCAAAUUUCAUAACUUAAUCAAACUCAUCAGUUCGAUUCAGUUCAUUUCAUUAACACCGCUAAUUGAAAGAAACAGAACAUAAUUUUGAUAAGAACAUGACAUGAUUUGGUUAAAAGUUAAAACUUAAACAAACUAACUAAGAAAUCAAAUUGAAUAAUUCAACAAAUCUAUCGCCUCAAAUUUCAAAAAAUUCAACACAAUUCCUUUAAAAUUUAACCUAAAAAGCAUCAAAUUUCAUAACAUAAUCAACCAAAACAUGAACACUAAACUAAACCAAACUCGUCAAUCCAAUCCAACCAUCUAAACGAACGAACAUGAACAAGAUCUCAUUCGCUUCGGUUCAAUUCAUUUACACCCCUACCAAAAAAACAUAUAUUUUCCGGAAAAAAUUUAACCUAAUUCAGUUAAAACAUAACCUAACAACCAGUGGCGAAACUUGAGAUUUUUGACCAGGGGGUCGAAAACGUAUAUACCCAAAAAUUUAUGUAAAACCGGAGGGUCAAAAACGUAUAUACCCAAAAGUUUCUAUACGAAAACUACAUACUCUCCACUACUGAGCGAAAAGUUCGGGGGUCGGCCGCCCCCUCCCGCCCCCACGAUGCUGCGCCGCUGCUGACAACCAUCAAAUUUCGAAACAUAACCAACCAAAACACAAACACCAACUUAAACCAAACUCAUCAAUUCAUCUUAUCAAAUCAUCUAAUCAAACCAUAAUUAAACAAAGAGCUUACCUCAAUAAAUAUUACAACAAAACCAUUGUCUUCGUUUAUAUGUUCGUUUAAGCUAAGCAUCAAAUUUCAUAUAUUAACAUGAUUAUUUUCUCAAAUUUCAAAACUUUACACAAUAUUGUUGAAACUUAAGCAAAAAAGCAUCAAAUAUUGUAACAUAAUUACACAAACAGCAACUCUAAACUAAACCAAACUCAUCAAUCAAUCCAUCCAAUCCCAUCACUUGACGAAACUAAACUCUUUAAAAAUCAAUAAAAUCCAGUUAAACCACACACACAUACCGUACUCCCCCAUCGAUCACGGGCAUCUAUAUUCGCCUUACACCUCAACAAAAGCAAGACAACAUCCACAUGCCCUUCACAAGCAGCCACAUGCAAAGCAGUCCUCCCAUCAAGAUCAAUACUAUUCACAUCCACCCCAUCAUCCAACAACUCUUUAACCCCUUGAACAUCACCUUUACACGCCACAAACAGCAACUGCAUAGUCGAAUCUAAAUUCCCAGGAACCGCAGCAAGUUCAUCAUCAUCUUUAUUAACAGGUCCCCGUUGAAUCGGGUCCAAAGAUGACUGCCGCCCGAACCCGAACCGCCCGUUGUUGUUGUUGUUGGAUCGUGGAUCUAACGAGUUCUGUCGCCUGAAACUUAGCUUUGAAGUUAGUUGCUUCACUGAAUUUGUUGAUAAUUGGCGGGAAAUCCCUCGUUUUAGUUGUGUUGCUCUGUCCAUGAUGGGUUUUGGUGUUGUGGGUUGAUUAAAUUAUGUGAAUUUGGAACAUGAUUUGGUGGAAUUCAAGUGGGGAAUUAGGGUUUGGGAAAAGGGGAUGAAUGAUUGAUGGAAUUUUGAUAGAAAUAUCUUU